rnacentral:rRNA from 1 species
UUUGCUUGCAAACCCCGAUGGCGACCGGCGCACGGGUGAGUAACGCGUAUCCAACCUUCCCGCGACUCGGGUAUAACCUGCCGAAAGGCAGACUAAUCCCCGAUGUCCUCCACUUUGGACAUCUUUUGUGGAGCAAAGGCUUCGGCCGGUUGCGGAUGGGGAUGCGUCCGAUUAGCUUGUUGGCGGGGCAAUGGCCCACCAAGGCUUCGAUCGGUAGGGGUUCUGAGAGGAAGGCCCCCCACAUUGGAACUGAGACACGGUCCAAACUCCUACGGGAGGCAGCAGUGAGGAAUAUUGGUCAAUGGGCGGAAGCCUGAACCAGCCAAGUAGCGUGCAGGAUGACGGCCCUAUGGGUUGUAAACUGCUUUUAUGCGGGGAUAACCGGGGCCACGCGUGGCCCCCUGCAGGUACCGCAUGAAUAAGGACCGGCUAAUUCCGUGCCAGCAGCCGCGGUAAUACGGAAGGUCCGGGCGUUAUCCGGAUUCAUUGGGUUUAAAGGGAGCGUAGGCCGUGGAUUAAGCGUGUUGUGAAAUGUAGGCGCUCAACGUCUGACUUGCAGCGCGAACUGGUCCACUUGAGUGUGCGCGACGCAGGCGGAAUUCGUGGUGUAGCGGUGAAAUGCUUAGAUAUCACGAGGAACCCCGAUUGCGAAGGCAGCUUGCGGGAGCACCACUGACGCUGAGGCUCGAAGGUGCGGGUAUCGAACAGGAUUAGAUACCCUGGUAGUCCGCACGGUAAACGAUGGAUGCCCGUUCUCCGGCUUUUUUUGUCGGGGGACC